rnacentral:lncRNA from 1 species
UUCUUUUCAGCUCCUGUGUAGUGCAGAAACCUGGGGCUCCUGAUCUAGGACUGGAAGCAGAGAAAUGGAUUCAAAGAAUGGCAUACAAAGGUAAAAGAUGAUUGUGGAAGCCCUCCCCAUUAUCACUGGAUGUGUGUGGAUUGAACAGUUCUUAACUAAGAGACCUAUUGGAAAGAGAUACGGCACUGUCUCAAACUGAGCCUGGUAUGUCUACUGUUCGAGUGACAGUAAAUUGCAUCCAACCCAGAAAUAAAUCAAGUCAGCAAGACAGUUUCUUGACUGCUCUAUUUUUGUUGAUAAAAGACUGGGGAUCAGCCACAUGUGCUCAAGCAUUCCAGUAAUCUCAGCAACUAGAGAGGCUGAAGCUGGUGGAUGGAGAGUUCAAAUCCAGCUACAGCAAUUUUGAAGCAUUAAGCAACUCACUGAGACACUGUCUCUAAAUAAAAUACAAAUAGGCAUGGCUCAGUGGUUAUGUGCCCCUGAGUUCAAUUCCUAGUAGAAAAAAAAGCAGGUGAUAAGACUUACAGAUACUCCCUACAGAGCUCCAUGAUAACGGAGAGAUAGAUGAAUGGAUAGAUAGAUUGAUAGAUAGAUAGAAAAAUUAAAUCAUUAUCUAUAAGACACCAUCUGUUUUCCAUAUGACUUCUGUGGAACUUGUGACUGAAUCUUGACAUCCAGCCUAUAGUAAGUGGGUUUGAUUUAUAAUAAAUUAUUCUAAAACUUAUUAGCUCACUCAACCCUUGAGCCACAUCCUGAGCCCUAUUUCUUAUUUUAUUUAAAUAAAGAGCCUUACUGAGUUGCUUAGAACCUCACCCUUGCUGAAGCUGGCAUUGGAUUUAUGAUCCUCCUGCCUCAGCCUCCGAACACACUUGGAUUAAGGAGUGCAACAGUGCACUCGGCUCUGUUCACAUUUUUAAUGCCAGCAUUUCCUCUUUGCAUUAUCAAUUCUUUUCACGUACAUUUCAAAUGGAUGCAGUGUUUCUAAUUUUUCUCCAAGAACUGGAUGGCAAUUUAAAGACUUUUCUUUCUUUUUGUAAACAUUUCAUAUUAGAAAAAACCAGAAAAGUGGAACUUGACAAUUUGAAAAAUAACAACAAUGUGUCUCUUCUCCCUUUUUCUUCCCAGGAACAGAUAACUUAUCACAAUGUCUUAUUUGAAAUACCUUUUUGAAAAGUUUUCUGUGUGAUGUUUCCUUAUCCUAACUUCCCAUAUUGACCUAAUUAUGGAUUUAAUAACUGCAUUCUACAAGGUUUAAACAGACACCAUGUCUAAAGUCUGCUGGAGUGUCUCAUGAAUAUGGGUCUUUGCCUUCUAGGGAAUAGUAUGAAGUAGGGACUGAGGGCACUCAAAGGAGUCUCUGGAAGCCCUGAAGCUGGCAAGGAUCUUUUAGUGAGACAGAGCUGGAAUCUCCUGGGAAAAUGAGGUAAUGUGAAGACAACCCCAUCUUCAAAUGCAGAUUUUUUUUUUCAAUCAAGAAAUAAAGUUUUCAAACUUAUCACUCAGAUUGAAAGGCAAUGAGUUUAUUAGAUGUGAUGUGAAGCAGGGAAAAGAGGACACUCUGAAGGAAGACAGAAUGUCUUCUCUGAAAAGAUAAUAGCAUGACUCUCUUGUACUCCAGUAUUAUUGAUCUAAGAAAAUAUUCCAAAUAGUUCUGCCCAGGUAAAAUUCUUGGCUUUGGACUAACAGAAGGAUAACAUCAAACUCUCAAGUAUCCACUGCCAUGAAAACUUUAGAUUAAUUAAGAUAAUUUUCACCAUUUGUAAUUGAAAUCUUUUUUUUUUUUUAAUUUUUUAUUGUUGGUUGUUCAAAACAUUACAAAUUUCUUGACAUAUCAUAUUCCACACUUUGAUUCAAGUGGGUUAUGAACUCCCACCUUCACCCCAUACACAGAUUGCAGAAUCACAUCAGCUACACAUCCAUUGAUUUACAUAUUGCCAUACUAGUGUCUGUUGUGCUCCCCUG